rfam:Triticum aestivum genome assembly, contig: Triticum_aestivum_CS42_TGACv1_scaffold_224003_3B
AUUCUACUCCCUCCGUUCCAAAUUACUCGUCGCAGAAAUUGAUGUACCUAGAACUAAAAUACAUCUAGAUACAUCGAUACCUGCGACAAGUAAUUCGGAACGGAGGGAGUAGACA